rnacentral:rRNA from 1 species
AGUGAACGCUGGCGGUAGGCCUAACACAUGCAAGUCGAACGGCAGCACAGUAAGAGCUUGCUCUUACGGGUGGCGAGUGGCGGACGGGUGAGGAAUACAUCGGAAUCUACUUUUUCGUGGGGGAUAACGUAGGGAAACUUACGCUAAUACCGCAUACGACCUACGGGUGAAAGCAGGGGAUCUUCGGACCUUGCGCGUUUGAAUGAGCCGAUGUCGGAUUAGCUAGUUGGCGGGGUAAAGGCCCACCAAGGCAACGAUCCGUAGCUGGUCUGAGAGGAUGAUCAGCCACACUGGAACUGAGACACGGUCCAGACUCCUACGGGAGGCAGCAGUGGGGAAUAUUGGACAAUGGGCGCAAGCCUGAUCCAGCCAUACCGCGUGGGUGAAGAAGGCCUUCGGGUUGUAAAGCCCUUUUGUUGGGAAAGAAAAGCAGCAGGUUAAUACCCCGCUGUUCUGACGGUACCCAAAGAAUAAGCACCGGCUAACUUCGUG